GUCUGGAGGGGAUUGCGUCGACUCCACAGUUUCAACCACGAUGAUUUCUUGCACCUCCCGAAACUCGCUGGAGUCUCUUCGGAAAUCUUGGGUCUCGUUCCGAGGAGAUGAUACGUUGUGCUGGUUUUGCUGCAGCUGGUGGUGUUGAUGCUGGUGCAUCUGCGGCUGAUGCAUCUGCGGCUGCUGCUGCUGUUGAUGCAUUUGCUGCUGCUGCGGGUGCUGCUGUUGGUGACGAUGGGUCAUACCGCCAUGGCCCCGUGGUUCA